UAGCUCCAUUGGUUAGAGCAUAGUGCUGAUAACACCAAGGUCAUGGGUUCGAUCCCCGU
rnacentral:tRNA from 1 species